rnacentral:rRNA from 1 species
GACGAACGCUGGCGGCGUGCUUAACACAUGCAAGUCGAACGGAAAGGCCCGGCUUUUGUGGGGUGCUCGAUUGGCGAACGGGUGAGUAACACGUGAGUAACCUGCCCUUGACUUUGGGAGAACUUCAGGAAACUGGGGCGAAUACCGGAUAGGAGCUCCCGCUGCAUGGUGGUGGUUGGAAAGUUUCGGCGGUUGGGGAUGGACUCGCGGCUUAUCAGCUUGUUGGUGGGGUAGUGGCUUACCAAGGCUUUGACGGGUAGCCGGCCUGAGAGGGUGACCGGCCACAUUGGGACUGAGAUACGGACCAGACUCCUACGUGCGGCAGCAGUGGGGAGUAUUGCACAAUGGGCGGACGCCUGAUGCAGCGGCGCCGCGUUCGGGAUGCCGGCCUUUGGGUUGUAAACCGCUUUCGCAUGUGACGAAGCGUGAGUGACGGUAACGAGUAAAGAAGCCACGGCUAACUACGUG